CGGGGUGAGUAAUGCUUGGGAAGUUGGCUUAUGAGGGGGAGUAACUACGGGAAACUAGUAGCUAAUACCGCGUAGUGUCGAGAGACGAAAGUGCGGGACCGGAAAGGACCGCAUGCCAUGAGAUGAGCCCAAGUGGGAUUAGGUAGUUGGUGGGGUAAAGGCCUACCAAGCCUGCGAUCUCUAGCUGGUCUGAGAGGAUGGCCAGCCACACUGGAACUGAGACACGGUCCAG
rnacentral:rRNA from 1 species